rnacentral:rRNA from 1 species
CCCUUAGAUGUCCGGGGCUGCACGCGCGCUACACUGAAGGAAUCAGCGUGCUAAAACCAUUGUCGAAAGGCAUUGGUAAACCCAUUAAAAUCCUACGUGAUUGGGAUCGGGAAUUGCAAUUAUUUCCCUUGAACGAGGGAUUCCCAGUAAGUGUGGGUCAUAAGCUCGCGUUGAUUACGUCCCUGCCCUUUGUACACACCGCCCGUCGCUGCCCGGGACUGAGCCGUUUCGAGAAAAGCGGGGACUGCUGCUGUCGGGGCUUUCGGGCCUUGGCUUCGGUGGAAACCGCUUUAAUCGCAGUGGCUUGAACCGGGCAAAANUCGUANCA